rnacentral:rRNA from 1 species
UUACACAUGCCAAGUCGAGCGAUGAAGCACCUUCGGGUGUGAAUUAGCGGCGAACGGGUGAGGAACACGUGAGAAAUCUGCCUUCAACACUGGGAUAACUCCGGGAAACCGGGGCUAAUACCGGAUAUGAAACCUGCGGGCAUCCGCGGGUUUGGAAAGUUUUUCGGUUGAAGAUGAUCUCGCGGCCUAUCAGCUUGUUGGUGAGGUAAUGGCUCACCAAGGCGACGACGGGUAGCCGGCCUGAGAGGGCGACCGGCCACACUGGGACUGAGACACGGCCCAGACUCCUACGGGAGGCAGCAGUGGGGAAUAUUGGGCAAUGGAGGAAACUCUGACCCAGCGACGCCGCGUGCGGGAUGAAGGCCUUCGGGUUGUAAACCGCUUUCAGCAGGGAAGAAGCGAAAGUGACGGUACCUGCAGAAGAAGCACCGGCUAACUAUGUGCCAGCAGCCGCGGUAAUACAUAGGGUGCAAGCGUUGUCCGGAAUUAUUGGGCGUAAAGAGCUCGUAGGUGGUUCGUCACGUCGGAUGUGAAACUCUGGGGCUUAACCCCAGACCUGCAUUCGAUACGGGCGAGCUUGAGUAUGGUAGGGGAGUCUGGAAUUCCUGGUGUAGCGGUGGAAUGCGCAGAUAUCAGGAGGAACACCAAUGGCGAAGGCAGGACUCUGGGCCAUUACUGACACUGAGGAGCGAAAGCGUGGGGAGCGAACAGGAUUAGAUACCCUGGUAGUCCACGCCGUAAACGGUGGGCACUAGUUGUGGGGACCUUCCACGGUCUCUGCGACGCAGCUAACGCAUUAAGUGCCCCGCCUGGGGAGUACGAUCGCAAGAUUAAAACUCAAAGGAAUUGACGG